AAUAAGGGAAUAGCAGUGACCGUUUAAUGGAAACAAGCUGCUCUUCAGAGAAUAUUCUGUUAGUCGGAAAGUUUUAUGUCCAAUUAUAUAGAAUAAAUGUAUAUAAAAUGUAGUAAACAACAUGCUAAAUUUAUUCCCCACUUUAAUCAUGGACUACUAGAUAGACGUCUCGACUCAACAGCAACCAUAUUUGACAAAAAAAUAGUAUGUGUACAUGAAAUAACGUUACAUACAUUAUUACACUGUAGUAGAGAAUUCCCCCUACUGAGGGCACUGCAUGACACUAUUUAAUUGACUGAGUUUUUUGUGCGCAAUUAUUUAUGUUUGGCUCCGCUGAGUCUGGCUCUCCUCAAGUGAGGAAAUAUCGAUCAGCGCAUAGCCGCGAUCUCAGACAAGCGACUGGUGCCCAGUUGCCCACUCUGUACAUGAACUGAUCAUUCACCUUCGGAUUGGUUAUUGAUAUAUGCACUAGCUAAUAAGGGCCGGUGGUAUUGGAUCCCUAUAUAUACAGUCAGUCCCCAUGACUGUUCCUUUCAGUUGACAUAAGAGUGGGAUUUAUGGCAGUGUAUUCAUGGGCUGCGCGUGUAAAAGGUGACUUCAAAACCAUUUCUUGCCCAGGGACCCACUCCCAGGCAAACCGGUGACCCAUGGACUCCCAUCAUACAUUAACAAAAACAGCAUCAGCGAAGGCUGGGUAUCUGGGCCUGGUCGGGGGUCUGUAGUAUCUCCCUCCUGUCCGACUCAUUGAAGAAAAACUCUUAGUCUAAUCUGGAGGUGAGUAAUCGCAGUUCUGAUGUCCAGAAGCUCUUGUCGGUCAUACUACUCUAUAUUGCUUGUCCUCGUGUGUCCGUUCAUGUUUUUCAGCAUAAAGUACUCUGCAGCCACUUUGUGUGGACACCAGGUGAGGCCACACACAGAUUCUUGUUCAAACACUGUCCCUUUAACGACCUUAUUUUCUCAAUAACAGUCUCUCGCCUUCACUUCUAGGUUAUAUCAGCCGUGUCUGUGAACCCCUCCUGCAUCUGAACUUGCUACAUAGAGUGCACAGAAUGAUCAGAGGUAUGUUUUGAUGUGAGAGAGGAUGCCAACCCCCAGUCCAGUCAUCGCCACCUCACCCGCUCUUAAAAUAAGUGUCUCUAGUCAGCCCCAAAGGUUAUGUCAUUAUGAUGAACUGAGAGAACAUUAGGGUAGCACUGUAAUUCAUUAAUCAUAUGCUGCCUUCCCUGCUCCUCUGUUCUUACCUCUUUCCCUUUCUGUCUUUUACACCUCUCUUGCCACCUCUUUCUUCCUCUGUUUUUAUAAUGCACAACAGAUGUGCAUUGAAGUAAAGAUUGAACUUGUAUUUAUAAUAUAGUAUUACAAUUAGAAUAUUUAUAAUGCAUGUAUUUAUAACACUUGGAUAAUUAACUUCUUUCAAUAAAGCAUUUCACAUUCUCUACUGGUUGAAAUUAAGUCUCUCAUUUGAUUAAAUACUACACCUAUUCUGUGCUAGAUCAACGCAAAUGAAGGAAAUUAGAUAUUGAGAUGAACCGGUUUUAGAGUAUUUACAUGAUGCAUAGGAAGUGUAGUGUAGUGUAAUGUUUUUCAAUUAUAUUCUAUUUCUGUUUAUAUGAAUUACAAAUCAACCUUUAACUAGUUAAAUAAUGUGUAACCAUUGAUGUCCCAGGACCAAGAUUGGCAAACACUGUUGAAGUGCAUACACGCAGACACAGCAUCAUUCAAAGACUGGAAUUUGAUACUCCUGGUAUUGGAUAUGACUGAAAUUACAUUAAUUCAUUAAUUCAUACCUGAACUGCACCUCUAUUUGCCAUGGUAGAGUACAUGAUUAGAGAAUAUAUUACAUGUACGGGCUACAAUGUGGGGAUCUCAUGUAUGGUAAUAACUACACGUAUAUCCAAUCCAAAGUUAAAUCUAGAAUUGGCUUCCUAUUUCGCAACAAAGCAUCCUUCACUCAUGCUGCCAAACAUACCCCUGUAACUGACCAUCCUACCAAUCCUCGACUUUGGCGAUGUCAUUUACAAAAUAGCCUCCAAUACCCUACUCAACAAAUUGGAUGCAGUCUAUCACAGUGCAAUCCGUUUUGUCACCAAAGCCCCAUAUACUACCCACCAUUGCGACCUGUACGCUCUCUUUGGCUGGCCCUCGCUUCAUACUCGUCGCCAAACCCACUGGCUCCAUGUCAUCUACAAGACCCUGCUAGGUAAAGUCCCCCCUUAUCUCAGCUCGCUGGUCACCAUAGCAUCUCCCACCUGUAGCACACGCUCCAGCAGGUAUAUCUCUCUAGUCACCCCCAAAACCAAUUCUUUCUUUGGCCGCCUCUCCUUUCAGUUCUCUGCUGCCAAUGACUGGAACGAACUACAAAAAUCUCUGAAACUGGAAACACUUAUCUCCCUCACUAGCUUUAAGCACCAACUGGCAGAGCAUGUUACAGAUUACUGCACCUGUACAUAGCCCACCUAUAAUUGAGCCCAAACAACUACCUCUUUCCCAACUGUAUUUAAUUCAUUUAUUGAUUUAUUUUGCUCCUUUGCACCCCAUUAUUUUUAUUUCUACUUUGCACAUUCUUCCACUGCAAAACUACCAUUCCAGUGUUUUACUUGCUAUAUUGUAUUUACUUUGCCACCAUGCCCUUUUUUGCCUUUACCUCCCUUCUCACCUCAUUUGCUCACAUCGUAUAUAGACUUGUUUCUACUGUAUUAUUGACUGUAUGUUUGUUUUACUCCAUGUGUAACUCUGUGUCGUUGUAUCUGUCGAACUGCUUUGCUUUAUCUUGGCCAGGUCGCAAUUGUAAAUGAGAACUUGUUCUCAACUUGCCUAACUGGUUAAAUAAAGGUGAAAUAAAUAAAUAAAUAAAAAAAAUAAAAAAAAAUAUACGACUUGCAUCCUUGGCACAAAGUUACAUUCUAGUCAAUCCAUCAGCUUCGUCAAUGUCAUUCACUGUUUUGAAGUUGAUACAACUGGCUAUGAUAGUUGAGGUUCAUAGCUAGGUUCUGAACUACUAUGUAAAACCUAACGUUUUAGGGUCCAUACACAGAUCGGCUACAACGCUAGCUACACAUCCAUGGGCAUACAGGGUCAGCAUGGCUACUCUGGCCUGUGGCUGGACAGCGAUUUUGGCAGUGGGCAUAGCCGAGCACGGCCUCACUGCACCAGCUAUAGCAGCCCUCGGCUCUCUGCUGAGGAGGACUUCACCCAUGACUCUCUGGACACCCUGGACUCUCCCUGAGGAGGACAGUCUCUCACCUCUCACAUAUAUUUUUUUCUAUUUAAAAAAAAAAUUAUGUCUCUUAAUGCUGUGCAAGUAUCAUUGUGUUUCUCAUUUCUACCUGCAGGUGGAGAUAGAGGCACAUUUAUUAAAGGAAGUAACCUACCACAUAUGGAUGACAGUCAGGUUUUUAAAUUUUUUUCUUUAUUUAACCAGGCAAGUCAGUUAAGAACAAAUUCUUAUUUUCAAUGACGGCCUAGGAACAGUGGGUUAACUGCCUGUUCAGGGGCAGAACGACAGAUUUGUACCUUGUCAGCUCAGGGGUUUGAACUUGUAACCUUCCGGUUACUAGUCCAACGCUCUAACCCCUGCCGCCCCAGGUUGGGGUGUUCUGUGAAGGUAGAGACAGGAGGCAAGAGGAGCAUCCUUGAUGCUGGCCACGAUGGAGAUUGCAGUGAAGACCCUUCAUAGCCAGGGUCAGAGGAGUGCAAUAGAUAAUGAGAGGAAUGACUUAAGGUUCUGAUUGAGGAUUUUCUGCUUUUCAAAUGGACGUGUAGAAAUUAUGGGGAUUUAUCACAAUUUCUUCUCAGACAAGACAUUUCAAGUUGAAGAAGGAGUGUGCUAAUCAAAUCCAAAUGUAUUUGUCACAUGCACCGAAUACAACAUUUCACCUUACCGUGUAAUGCUUACUUAUAAGCCCUUAACCAACAAUACAGUUAAAGAAAUUGAGUUAAGAAAAUAUUUGCAAAAUAAACUAAAGUAAAAAAAAAAAA